UACAGGGGGCUCGAGCGUUAGUCGGAAUCACUGGGCUUAAAGGGUGCGUAGGUGGCUCGCCAAGUGCUUUGUGAAAUCCCCGAGCUCAACUCGGGAACAGCAGGGCAAACUGGCGGGCUUGAGGCAGGUAGGGGCCGGAAGAACAGUUGGUGGAGCGGGUGAAAUGCGUAGAUAUCGUAAGGAAGACCAGUGGCGAAGGCGGGUCUCUGGACAGUUCCGUGACGCUGAGGCACGAAGGGUCAGGGGAGCAAACGGGG
rnacentral:rRNA from 1 species